UAGGGAAUAUUGCGCAAUGGACGAAAGUCUGACGCAGCCACGCCGCGUGAGUGAAGAAGGCCUUCGGGUUGUAAAGCUCUGUCGCCCGGGAAAAACGGCUAUUAGGGGAAAGUUCUAGUAGCGUGAUGGUACCGGGAGAGGAAGCACCGGCAAACUCUGUGCCAGCAGCCGCGGUAAUACAGAGGGUGCAAGCGUUGUUCGGAAUUACUGGGCGUAAAGCGUGCGUAGUCGGUAUUGAGAGUCGCGGGUGAAAUCCCAGGGCUUAACCCUGGAACUGCCUGCGAGACCUCAGUACUAGAGUGUGAGAGGGGAUAGUGGAAUACCAAGUGUAGCGGUGAAAUGCGUAGAGAUUUGGUGGAACACCGGUGGCGAAGGCGGCUAUCUGGCUCACAACUGACGAUCAGGCACGAAAGCGUGGGUAGCAAACAGGAUUAGAUACCCCUGUAGUCCCUGAGCGGGCUGGCAAGGCGCAU
rnacentral:rRNA from 1 species